UUCGAUGAUACGCGAGGAACCUAACCUGGGCUAGAAUGCAGUCUGACCGCGGGUGAAAGCUCGUUUUGUAGCAAUACACAGAUUGUAAGGUGCUGCAUGGCUGUCGUCAGCUCGUGCCGUGAGGUGUUGGGUUAAGUCCCGCAACGAGCGCAACCCCCAUCACUAGUUGCCAUCAGGUAAUGCUGGGAACUCUAGUGAAACUGCCGUCGCAAGACGCGAGGGAGGAGGGGAUGAUGUCAAGUCAUCAUGGCCUUUAUGCCCAGGGCUACACACGUGCUACAAUGGAGAAGACAAAGGGCUGCCACUUGGCAACAAGGAGCUAAUCCCAAAAACCUCUUCUCAGUUCAGAUUGGAGUCUGCAACUCGACUCCAUGAAGCUGGAAUCGCUAGUAAUCGUAGAUCAGCAACGCUACGGUGAAUACU
rnacentral:rRNA from 1 species